rnacentral:rRNA from 1 species
UACGGGGGGAGCAAGCGUUGUUCGGAUUUACUGGGCGUAAAGGGCGCGUAGGCGGCCACCUAAGUCAGACGUGAAAUCCCUCGGCUCAACCGGGGAACUGCGUCUGAUACUGGGUGGCUUGAAUUCGGGAGAGGAAUGCGGAAUUCCAGGUGUAGCGGUGAAAUGCGUAGAUAUCUGGAGGAACACCGGUGGCGAAGGCGGCAUUCUGGACCGACAUUGACGCUGAGGCGCGAAAGCGUGGGGAGCGAACAGG